rnacentral:rRNA from 1 species
UUGGAGGGCAAGUCUGGUGCCAGCAGCCGCGGUAAUUCCAGCUCCAAUAGCGUAUAUUAAAGUUGUUGCAGUUAAAAAGCUCGUAGUUGAAUUUCGGGAUCAGUAUGUUGGUCGUGCUUCGGUACGUACUGUCAUUACUGGUUUCUACCUUCUGAAGAACCUUGAUGUCAUUAAUUUGGUGUCUUGGGGAAUCAGGACUGUUACUUUGAAAAAAUUAGAGUGUUUAAAGCAAGCAUACGCUUGAAUACAUUAGCAUGGAAUAAUGAAAUAGGACGUUUGAUUCUAUUUUGUUGGUUUCUAGGAUCGACGUAAUGAUUAAUAGGGAUAGUUGGGGGCAUUAGUAUUCAAUUGUCAGAGGUGAAAUUCUUGGAUUUAUUGAAGACUAACUACUGCGAAAGCAUUUGCCAAGGAUGUUUUCAUUAAUCAAGAACGAAAGUUAGGGGAUCGAAGACGAUCAGAUACCGUCGUAGUCUUAACCAUAAACUAUGCCGACUAGGGAUCGGAUGAUGUUAUUUUUAAUGACUCAUUCGGCGCCUUACGGGAAAC